CGCUCUAGCAGGGCCGAAUCCCUUCUCGAGGUUCGUUUACUUUAAGGCCUGCCUUAAGUAAGUGGUGUUGACGUUUGGGUCCUGCGCAAUGGGAAUUCAUGAACCAUGUCAGGUCCGGAAGGAAGCAGCAUUAAGUGAAACCUCUCAUGUGCCGCAGGGUUGCCUGGGCCGAGCUAACUGCUUAAGUAACGCUUAGGGUAGCGAAUCGACAGAAGGUGCACGG
rnacentral:SRP_RNA from 1 species